CCUACGGGUGGCAGCAGUGAGGAAUAUUGGUCAAUGGCCGGAAGGCUGAACCAGCCAUGCCGCGUGAAGGUCAGUGCCCUAUGGGCGUUAAACUUCUUUUGUGCGGGAGCAAUAAUGGUCACGUGUGGCCAGACGAGAGUACCGUACGAAUAAGCAUCGGCUAACUCCGUGCCAGCAGCCGCGGUAAUACGGGGGAUGCAAGCGUUAUCCGGAUUUAUUGGGUUUAAAGGGUGCGUAGGCUGUGAGGUAAGUCAGCGGUGAAAUGCCCCCGCUCAACGGGGUGAAGUGCCAUUGAUACUGGCUGGCUGGAAUGCGGAUGCCGUGGGAGGAAUGUGUGGUGUAGCGGUGAAAUGCAUAGAUAUCACACAGAACACCGAUUGCGAAUGCAUCUCACGAAUCCGCGAUUGACGCUGAUGCACGAAAGCGUGGGUAUCAAACAGGAUUAGAUACCCUUGUAGUC
rnacentral:rRNA from 1 species